UCGGAUUCAGAGAUUUGGCCACCAAAUUGGGCUGAAUCUCCUCCGAAUCGAAUCACCACCCAAAGCUUCACACAGCCCUAAUACACAGCAGAAUUUCCAGCAUCAUUGUACUAUGCAUGCAUUGAAAGUAAGUAUGGUAUUCACCUGUGCGUGUAGCAGAAGUGCCAGCACAAUUGUCAUUUUCUCUUGUAUGUUUAUCAAAUCAACAGUAUCCAAAUAGUUGGUUUCUUUAUUAUAACCCCCACUUUCCAAAUGUCAUCAAUUAUUUGCUGUGCUCCUCCACCUUUACUUAAAUGCAUUUGCCCUCACUAGAAUUGGAUUGGACCAGAGGCCUUAACUGUCCUGUUUUGCUGCAUUUCUUUAACCAUAGGUAUCCUAGUAUUUCGAUCUUUCACCAUGUUGCCUGCAAGUCCUUUAUGCUACUAGAGUCCACCCAGGACUUAAUUUCUGAGUUUACAAGCGAAAUAAGAAGUUAUGGGAGAAAAGAGAAAUGCAGUAAAAGGGUUGAAAUGCUAAUAAAACUGCUACACUUUAUCACUGCAAUAAUUUUAUAUCACUUUUAAAUUCUUCAGAUUUUUUGCUGAUGCUACUUAAAUAUUAGGCAGCCAAAAUGUUGAUUUUUUUAAUCUAUGAGACAGUUUUUAAACAAGGCUCUCCACUGCUAAUAUUUCAUGUUAUUCUCUACUUUGAGAUGUAUUUCACUGAAAUUGCAGCAAAAACAUUUUUAAACAUUUUUAAAGAAACUAAAUCAAAUGUUUCAUUUCAAUUAAAUUACAUAUUUGUUUUAUUCUGUAUGAUCUUUUUAGGUUUGAUCUGUGACUUAAUCACUCUGUGAUAACCACUUAGAAGGAAAAAAAACAUCUACAGACUGAUGUAGGAAUGAGCAACUGGUUGGAAAAAAUAACCCUAAUGGAAUUGAAGAGAAGCCUCCUACCUUUAAUGGAAUUACUCUGUUUUCCUCUCUUUGGUCGUGGAACUACUCUAAAGGGAAAAUGAUAGGUGUUGGAACAAAUUUUAAAGGACAGAAGCAGUCAUUACCAUUUCCUUUUUUAUUAAAUCCACUCCAUUCCACAGAAGAAUUUCACCACUUAAAGAAUUUCCUUACAGAAAAUUUCACCCAGGAGCAAAGAGGCUAUAGAAUGUGUAGAACCAGAGGGAGUACAGAGAAAUGGGUUGUGAAACAGACUGUGCUUAGCCUGCUUACCACAAGUGGAGCCUACUGUACAUCUCCGUGUGGAUCAGUGGGGGAGGCAGAGGAUGUGUGUAUUGGUGGUAGGGUGGGAGGGCUAUCUGAGCACAGCCAGCGAAUCUAUUAUUCUAUGGAUUUAGAAUCAAGGAUGUAAUAGUAGCAGCUGUGAAGGGGGAAGUGGUUCAGGUCUGUGCUGUCCCACUGGUUGGUGGAGGGUAAGGGGUUAUUUAUAUGCCACACCCCAAACUCUCAUUUAGUUCCUCUACAAAUGCCUGUGUUCUUGGGUUUUGAAUGAUGUGCAAUUUUCACUGGCUGUAUUAAACCCAUUUAUUUGUGACUACAGCCAAGACAUUUAGGGUCCAUGGUUUUAAGAGACCUUAUGUAUAUUAUUCCAAUUUUUGUUGGUAGCAACACAAAUGUGCAGCAGUAUUACCCUAUAACUAUCACAGAUCCUCCUACUGCUUUUCAAAAAUGCAGGGUCUUAGUGAGAGACUUAAGGCCUUGUUGCAUGGGACACUUAGCAUGUGUUAGUUGAAUUGCAGUAAGCAUUACCAUGCCAUAUUAAAAGUUAUAAGAUAUCCUGAGCAGUUGCACAGUAAUGCUUACUUUGUUUUCAAAGUGUAAUGUGUAACACUAUGCGGGACCACAUCAGAGCUGGUUUAACACUGGUGUGGUGCCUGUGCUGGGACCAACAAGCAAGCUGUGCUGGUAUCUCCAUAGAGCAGUCCUAAUUUUUCUACCAUAUGAUCAUGCUUAGCACAUGUUUUACUGCAUAAAUGUAUGGAUGCUUGCAUUUUAAGUGCAAUUAACAUGCUCCCAUGUGUAAUGUGCAACAAUGCCCUAACAGAGCCCCUGUGAUAUUGUAGACUUUGGGUGCCCAAUAAAAUAAUAAGAAGUAGGACACUGAUUUAUACAAGCAAGUAACAUACCCCAGAUCCAAGGUGUAAGCAUUCCGUGAUGUGCCUCUUGGAGCCGAGUUGUCUCUCUGCUGGAAUUGUAGUGUUCUGUCCUUCAGAAAUUUCCUGCCAUGCUUUGAUGUUAAUGAGCGAGAGGUACCAAAUGCUUUCGGGAGACAAAAGGAUUGGUGAAAGGCUCAGGAGGUUGGCUUAUCUUUGCAGGGCUCCACCAUCCCCAUGCCCUGCCCUAACUACACCAGGCUUGUUGUUGCUUAUCUACUGGACUGGUCUGGUCCUAGUUUUAUGGACUCCUUUGUUGAGGGGUCCUUCUUUAUGUUGGUUGCUUGCCCUGUUCUUCCCUGCAUGGGUCCCAAGACAGCUGCCUCUUAAUUCUAACCCCACUGUUACUUUCAGGGUCAGGACGGAUUUACCCCUCCCAGGGGUGUAAUCUCAUCCGUGCCUCUUUUCUCUUCUCGGGUCCUGGAGCGGUUAUCUCCACACCUCAAGACUGGCUCACUGACAGAGCAGUCUCUUCCGUCUCUUCACUGGUUCUCUCCAGUCGCCAUCAUGCAUCCCUGAGGCUGCGAGCCCCAAUCAGUGGAAGCUCAGAUACAUUCAAGUGAAGGCACAAUGGGAACCAGCCACAAAGUUAGUACACAGAAUAUGUGUGAUAACUGUAUGUUUUUUUCCCUUGUUUUAUCCCACUCUUAAUUGCAUUAUCAGGUGGCUGGAUUACUAUUUAAGACAUGAUUAACUGGCUAACUAAAAUGAAUAAAUAUAGUCUGGGCAAAAGACAAACAAUCAGAGCAAAAACUACUCCCACCUAAGAAUGAAAAGAGUAUCUUAAAAUAGAGAAUUCCAGUUAAAAGUAACCAUAUUUGGCAAACAGAAGCAAGAUUAUUAAUAUGCAUUAGGAGGAAGACUUAAGCUAAUUUUAUGAAUUAAGAAAUGCAAGCUAUAUGGUAGAUAAAGAGACAUGAGGGAUCAUACCCUUCAGAAUACUCUGAAGAAAGCCUGAAGAGAUCCUGUCACCAAUCCAAGAUCCUGUCUUGACAUCAGAGGCAGGAACCAGGAGCCCUGGAUAAGACUUCACGGCUUGAGCAACCAGUGAAGUUGUGUUCAAAACAUUACAGGAUGGAGAGCAUCUGCUUUGACUAGCUACAAACCUAGACUUUUAACUGCUAAUGCUGCUCAAUUCUAAUUAGAGUUGUAUCUGUUAGGAUUCAAUAAACAUACUUUUAGGUCA